UGGCAAUACAGUACAAAUACAG
rnacentral:miRNA from 1 species